AGUGAACGCUGGCGGUAGGCCUAACACAUGCAAGUCGAACGGCAGCACAGUAAGAGCUUGCUCUUACGGGUGGCGAGUGGCGGACGGGUGAGGAAUACAUCGGAAUCUACUUUUUCGUGGGGGAUAACGUAGGGAAACUUACGCUAAUACCGCAUACGACCUACGGGUGAAAGCAGGGGAUCUUCGGCCCUUGCGCGAUUGAAUGCGCCGAUGUCGGAUUAGCUAGUUGGCGGGGUAAAGGCCCACCAAGGCGACGAUCCGUAGCUGGUCUGAGAGGAUGAUCAGCCACACUGGAACUGAGACACGGUCCAGACUCCUACGGGAGGCAGCAGUGGGGAAUAUUGGACAAUGGGCGCAAGCCUGAUCCAGCCAUACCGCGUGGGUGAAGAAGGCCUGCGGGUUGUAAAGCCCUUUUGUUGGGAAAGAAAAGCAGCAGGUUAAUACCCCGCUGUUCUGACGGUACCCAAAGAAUAAGCACCGGCUAACUUCGUG
rnacentral:rRNA from 1 species